AUUGAACGCUGGCGGCAGGCCUAACACAUGCAAGUCGAGCGGAUGAAGGUAGCUUGCUACCUGAUUCAGCGGCGGACGGGUGAGUAAUGCCUAGGAAUCUGCCUGAUAGUGGGGGACAACGUUUCGAAAGGAACGCUAAUACCGCAUACGUCCUACGGGAGAAAGUGGGGGAUCCUCGGACCUCACGCUAUCAGAUGAGCCUAGGUACGAUUAGCUAGUUGGUGAGGUAAAGGCGCACCAAGGCGACGAUCGUUAACUGGUCUGAGAGGAUGAUCAGUCACACUGGAACUGAGACACGGUCCAGACUCCUACGGGAGGCAGCAGUGGGGAAUAUUGGACAAUGGGCGAAAGCCUGAUCCAGCCAUGCCGCGUGUGUGAAGAAGGUCUUCGGAUUGUAAAGCACUUUAAGUUGGGAGGAAGGGCAGUAAGUUAAUACCUUGCUGUUUUGACGUUACCGACAGAAUAAGCACCGGCUAACUUCGUGCCAGCCGCCGCCGUAAUAC
rnacentral:rRNA from 1 species